rnacentral:rRNA from 1 species
UACGUAGGCAGCAAGCGUUGUUCGGAGUUACUGGGCGUAAAGGGUGCGUAGGCGGCUUUUUAAGUUUGGUGUGAAAUCUCCCGGCUCAACUGGGAGGGUGCGCCGAAUACUGAGAGGCUAGAGUGUGGGAGAGGAAAGUGGAAUUCCUGGUGUAGCGGUGAAAUGCGUAGAUAUCAGGAGGAACACCGGUGGUGUAAACGGCUUUCUGGACCAUAACUGACGCUGAGGCACGGAAGCGUGGGUAGCAAACAGG